CCCCGCAGCUGCACGUGGCCGCUGCCAACGGGUACCGCGCGGCGGCCGAGCUGCUGCUGGAGCACCGCGCCCGCCCCGACGCCCGCGACGCCGACGGCUGGCAGCCGCUGCACGCCGCGGCCUGCUGGGGACAGGUGCAGCUGGCCGAGCUGCUGGUGGCUCACGGCGCCGACCUCGGCGCCAAGGCGCUGCUGGACGAGACUCCCCUGGAUGUGUGCGGGGACGAGGAGGUGAGGGCCAAGCUGCUGGAGCUGAAGCACAAGCGGGCGGCCGUGCUGAAAUCCCAGGAGAAGCACAAAUCCCUGCUGCAGAGGAGAACGUCCAGCGCCGGCAGCCGCGGGUGAGAGG